rnacentral:miRNA from 1 species
UGACACUAAAACAGAAAACACAACACUAAAAUAGAAAACACAACGACAUGAACCACUGUGUUUUCUAUUUUUGUGUUGUGUUUUCUGAUUUGCUGUUGUU